rnacentral:rRNA from 1 species
AUUGAACGCUGGCGGCAGGCCUAACACAUGCAAGUCGAACGGUAACAGGAAGAAGCUUGCUUCUUUGCUGACGAGUGGCGGACGGGUGAGUAAUGUCUGGGAAACUGCCUGAUGGAGGGGGAUAACUACUGGAAACGGUAGCUAAUACCGCAUAACGUCGCAAGCCCAAAGAGGGGGACCUUCGGGCCUCUUGCCAUCGGAUGUGCCCAGAUGGGAUUAGCUAGUAGGUGGGGUAACGGCUCACCUAGGCGACGAUCCCUAGCUGGUCUGAGAGGAUGACCAGCCACACUGGAACUGAGACACGGUCCAGACUCCUACGGGAGGCAGCAGUGGGGAAUAUUGCACAAUGGGCGCAAGCCUGAUGCAGCCAUGCCGCGUGUAUGAAGAAGGCCUUCGGGUUGUAAAGUACUUUCAGCGGGGAGGAAGGGAGUAAAGUUAACACCUUUGCUCAUUGACGUUACCCGCAGAAGAAGCACCGGCUAACUCCGUG